GAGUUUGAUCAUGGCUCAGAGCGAACGCUGGCGGCAGGCCUAACACAUGCAAGUCGAACGAACUCUUCGGAGUUAGUGGCGGACGGGUGAGUAACACGUGGGAACGUGCCUUUUGGUUCGGAAUAACUCAGGGAAACUUGUGCUAAUACCGAAUGUGCCCCUUCGGGGGAAGGAUUAUCGCCAUUAGAGCGGCCCGCGUCUGAUUAGCUAGUUGGUGAGGUAAAGGCUCACCAAGGCGACGAUCAGUAGCUGGUCUGAGAGGAUGAUCAGCCACAUUGGGACUGAGACACGGCCCAAACUCCUACGGGAGGCAGCAGUGGGGAAUCUUGCGCAAUGGGCGAAAGCCUGACGCAGCCAUGCCGCGUGAAUGAUGAAGGUCUUAGGAUUGUAAAAUUCUUUCACCGGGACGAUAAUGACGGUACCCGGAGAAGAAG
rnacentral:rRNA from 1 species